UCGGGAAACUGUGAGUAUCGUAAUUGAAACCAUUACUAAUUGCUAGUACUAAAUUGUGAGUACGAACAUGCGAAUGGUAGUGCUAUGAUAGAGGAAACAUACCGGAAUCCCUCUCUUGAGCAAUUGCCGUUCCGCCCUCUUGUUAAAUGCUUAUCAACUAAUACUUGGUGUUCUUUUUACCAUUUCUUGCAGUAAACGUGUUCGGUGGACCACGAACCGCUACUCCACAUCCUCACGCUAACCAACCGGAGGGGAUUCCUCGGCGCAGAGAGCGCAAACACUAGGCGCCUGAGAGGUGCACGUGCAGCGAGACAACGGGGGAUGAACACAUGUAGUAGCUUUGAUAGGGAAUCAAAUAACCUUGCGUGGUUGGGCCAAUGGGCGCGUUACUUGUAUUUGUGAUGCAUAUGCAGCUUGUUAAACAAGUUUGUGUGCAACUUGCAAUUUCUGUUUCCUUGUCCUUCGAGGGACUCGCUAAUGUUAUACGUACUCGAUCGACAAUUGGUAUCUCCUUUGUACUCCAUUAUUGAAACCGCUCGUAUGUGGAAAGGUUAUUGAAACAAUUUGAUCGAUUGGGCCAACAAAGGUGGUUAGUUGCUUCUUAUUGCUUGUCACUCACUGUAAUCUACUCCCUCCGUCCACAAAUAUACAACGUUUUGGAUAUAUCAAUACGUGCUAAUAUUUAUGAACGGAU
rnacentral:lncRNA from 1 species